rnacentral:rRNA from 1 species
GACGAACGCUGGCGGCGUGCUUAACACAUGCAAGUCGAACGGAAAGGCCCUGCUUUUGUGGGGUGCUCGAGUGGCGAACGGGUGAGUAACACGUGAGUAACCUGCCCUUGACUUUGGGAUAACUUCAGGAAACUGGGGCUAAUACCGGAUAGGAGCUCCUGCUGCAUGGUGGGGGUUGGAAAGUUUCGGCGGUUGGGGAUGGACUCGCGGCUUAUCGGCUUGUUGGUGGGGUAGUGGCUUACCAAGGCUUUGCAGGGUAGCCGGCCUGGUAGGGUGACCGGCCACAUUGGGACGGAGAUACGGCCCAGACUCCUACGGGAGGCAGCAGUGGGGUAGAUUGCACAAUGGGCGGAAGCCUGAUGCAGCAACGCCGCGUGCGGGAUGACGGCCUUCGGGUUGUAAUCCGCUUUCGCCUGUGACGAAGCGUGAGUGACGGUAAUGGGUAAAGAAGCACCGGCUAACUACGUG